rnacentral:rRNA from 1 species
AUUGAACGCUGGCGGCAUGCUUUACACAUGCAAGUCGAACGGUAACAGGCCUUCGGGUGCUGACGAGUGGCGAACGGGUGAGUAAUGCAUCGGAACGUGCCCAGAGGUGGGGGAUAACGCAGCGAAAGCUGUGCUAAUACCGCAUGUGAUCUGAGGAUGAAAGCGGGGGACCAGGCAGCAAUGUUUGGCCUCGCGCCUUUGGAGCGGCCGAUGUCAGAUUAGGUAGUUGGUGGGGUAAAGGCCUACCAAGCCGACGAUCUGUAGCUGGUCUGAGAGGACGACCAGCCACACCGGGACUGAGACACGGCCCAGACUCCUACGGGAGGCAGCAGUGGGGAAUUUUGGACAAUGGGCGCAAGCCUGAUCCAGCAAUGCCGCGUGCGGGAAGAAGGCCUUCGGGUUGUAAACCGCUUUUGUACGGAACGAAAAGGCUCUGGCUAAUACCUGGGGCUGAUGACGGUACCGUAAGAAUAAGCACCGGCUAACUACGUG